CCAAGCUGUGGUGUAGAAGCCCAGCUCCACAUGGACAAGCAGUCCAGAAAGGUUAAAAAGCAAGUUACUAAAGGAAGUGAAGACUCAAGGGUCCAAAGACACAUUCUCUCUUCCUCGUUUCCACGUGGCCCCCAAAAGUAGGCUGGACCAUCCUGCAGAACACACAUAUGCAAUAACGAAAAAACCUUUGUACAUAGCAGGUGCUCGGUAAAUACUUGUCAAAAUAAGGUCAGAGCACAACUAACCAGAACACAGGAAGCCCUCCAUUAAUACCUGCUAAGUUGGAAAGUCUGUAACACGUCUACCUUGUACCUAGUAGAUGCUCAAUAAGUACCGUUUAGAUUAAGAGGAUCCUGAUUUUUGCCGCGCACACAGUAGGUCCCCUGUAAGUGGCUCUUAAAUGGAACAGCAGGAACCGCUCGCUCGAGGAAGCGGGGCAGGGCUGACGUUAGUCAAAUCCCAGGCAGAGAUCCAUGAACCGAGAUGCGCGUCUCGAGGCAGCGCUUCCGAGGGUGCCCGGGAGGCGCGUGACAGCCGCGCACCGCGCGCUUCCCCGGGGGCCGCGGACUCCCCGUCCGCCCCGGGCGUGGGCGAGCGACCGCGACCCGCUGCCCCCCGGGCGCCGCCCCCCAUAUCACCUCGGGGCUGCACCUGGAGCUCCCGCGAUGCCCGCCCCCCGCCGGGGCGCCCGCCCACGCUGGCUCCUCCGGUUCUGGAGAGUUGUGGGCAGAACAAAAGCGAACCCGAUUGCUUCUCCGAAGGCGCGCGCCCCGGGAGGAGGCUGGGGGGGCCGGCCCGGGCCGGGGUGCGGGGUUAGACCCGAUCCGCGGCCCGCGGCCGCCCGCCCUCCCGGCAGAUGCAGGCUGCAGGUUGCAGCGCCGGGGACAGCGCCGGGGACAGCGGCGGGGCUCGCUCCUUCCCUCCCUCCCCGCCCUCUCGGGCGCCCCGAGCCCCCGCCCUGGGGUCGCAGGGGCGGAGAUGGGCACCUGGAUCGGUGGGGCGGGAGGGCGGGCGGGGGGGGCGACAUACUAACCCUCGAAGGCAGCGCGAAGGAGGCCGGAGGGGAAGAUGCUGCGGACUGGGGCGGACCCCACCGCCGAGCUCCGAAUUUGAACUCGCCUGCGAACCACCCCUGGGCGCCCCCAAACGCGCCACACCGCCCGCGGGGGUGGGGUCCCCUCAACGGCGCCCGGUCCCUAAAUCCUCCGCCCUCUGCACCCCUCGGGGAUGCCCAACCGCAACCUUCCCGUCGGGACCGCAGAUCCAGGGGCGGCCCGGGCGCGGGGGCGGGGGACCGGGUCCCGGAGGCGGCCACGCCGGCCCCGCGGGAGGCACCGGCGCGCAAACUCGCGGUUCGGAAUCCGCUUGCUUCCCGGGUCGGGGUUUUCCCCCAGGUGAGGCGGGGGCGCGGGGACAGCGGGGAAGGAGCGUUUCUGCUUUUCGCUCGGCUUCUCCGGGGCCCCCGAACUCCGAGAGGCGCAGGCACCGGGAGAAGAAAGGAAGCGGAGGGGGAGCCACUUACCCAGAGCGGAGCCCGAGAGCGCGGCGGCCCCGGCGCAGGCGGCGCCUUUGUCUGAGGUCGCGGCGCCGGCGCGCUCGGCCAGGCAGGUCCCGGCCCCGGCGCGCGGCGAGCUCCCGCGGGCGUCCGGACUGCGCGGCUCGCGGCUCCCGCCCCCCGCCCCGCGCCCCGGCUCCGGCUCCGGCUCCGGCUCCGCUCCCGCCCCCGCCCCCGCCCCGCGCUCGCCGCAGCCGCCGCCGCCGCCGCCGCCGCCGGCUCCGCCCCGCGCCGGCCCCGCCCCCGGGCCCCCACCUGCUGCGGCCGCCGGGGAGCCGAGCGUGGGGAGCCGCGCGUGGGGAGCCCAGCGUGGGGGGCCUGCCGCCUCCCCGCGCACCCCGCCCCCGCCUCCCCGCCGCCCGCGACCCCUACAGAGACGGCCUCACCCGAGGGCCCGGCGCCCGCAAGCAGGGGAGCCGCCGUGGGGGGCGGGGGGCGGGGGGCGGCCUCCCUGCCCGGGCCGGGCGCGCGUCGUCGGGGCCCCGUCACCUUGGAAGGCGGCCCCCACUUUGCCCGGGAGAGGGGAGCCGUCGGGCUCCGGCCAGGAGGGAGGGGGCUGCGGGAAGCAGGGUCUCCCUAACCCCGGCUGAAGCCCGGCCUCCCAGCGGGGUCAGCCCCUGGCCGGCUUCACAGAGUCCGCUGUAG
rnacentral:lncRNA from 1 species